rnacentral:antisense_RNA from 1 species
CUUCACCGAGCCGAGCCACAGGGGCGCGGUGCCGCCGGUGGUGGCUUCGGCUCGGUCCUGGCCGUACGUGGCGAGGAGCGCCUGGGCCUC